rfam:Felis catus isolate Cinnamon breed Abyssinian chromosome A1, whole genome shotgun sequence.
GCCUGGGUGGCUCAGUCGGUUGAGCAUCUGACUUCAGCUCAGGUCACGAUCUCGCGGUCUGUGAGUUCGAGCCCCGCAUCGGGGCU